CCUACGGGUGGCAGCAGUGGGGAAUAUUGGACAAUGGGGGGAACCCUGAUCCAGCGACGCCGCGUGAGUGAAGAAGUAUUUCGGUAUGUAAAGCUCUAUCAGCAGGGAAGAAAGAAAUGACGGUACCUGACUACGAAGCCCCGGCUAACUACGUGCCAGCAGCCGCGGUACUACGUAGGGGGCAAGCGUUAUCCGGAUUUACUGGGUGUAAAGGGAGCGUAGACGGCGAUGCAAGUCUGAAGUGAAAGGCGGGGGCCCAACCCCCGGACUGCUUUGGAAACUGUAUGGCUGGAGUGCAGGAGAGGUAAGUGGAAUUCCUAGUGUAGCGGUGAAAUGCGUAGAUAUUAGGAGGAACACCAGUGGCGAAGGCGGCUUACUGGACUGUAACUGACGUUGAGGCUCGAAAGCGUGGGGAGCAAACAGGAUUAGAUACCCGUGUAGUC
rnacentral:rRNA from 1 species